GGAUGAAGAACGUAGCGAAAUGCGAUACUUGGUGUGAAUUGCAGAAUCCCGUGAACCAUCGAGUCUUUGAACGCAAGUUGCGCCCGAAGCCACUAGGCCGAGGGCACGCCUGCCUGGGCGUCACACGCCGUUGCCCCCCCAUCUACUCCUUCGGGAUUGCGGGGGGGCGGAUGAUGGCCUCCCGUGCGCCUAGCCGCGCGGUUGGCAUAAAUACCAAGUCCUCGGCGACGCACGCCACGACAAUCGGUGGUUGCGAAACCUCGGUUGCCCGUCGUGUGCGUUCGUCGCGCAUCGAGGGCUCGAAAAAUGCUCGGCUCCGGCUGGGCUUUCAACGCGACCCCAGGUCAGGCGGGGUUACCCGCUGAAUUUAAGCAUAUCAAUAAGCGGAGGA
rnacentral:misc_RNA from 1 species